rnacentral:lncRNA from 1 species
AAAAAUGAUGGAAGCUCUAUAUAAUGAUUAUAAAAAAAACUGUUAUGAAUAUAUGAAGACAUUGUCAUAUACAGAAAGAAUAAUAAAUGAUAAUAAUACCGAUGAAAGUAAGUUAUUAAAUAUUUAUGAAAAAGCUAUAAAGAGUGCUGAGAGUAUGUUUAGCCGAAUGCAACUUGAAGUUGAAACAAAUGGUAUGACAAGUAAUAAACAAUAUGAAUUAAAUAAUAUAAACAAAGAAAUAAAUGAAUAUAAAAAAAAAUUAAGAAAAUAUAAAGAAGACUUUUUAGAAAGAAAUAGAAUAAAAAAUGACCAUAAUAAUGAUAACUAUGAUGACCGUAUAUUAUUAUUGAGUGAUGUAGAUAUAUUAGAGAAAGGUGAUGUAUAUAUUAAUCAAUCUAAAAUAUUAAUGAAUAAUUCAGAAUACAUUACAAAUGACAUUAUGAAUAAUUUACAUCAACAAAAAGAAUAUAUAAAAAAAAGUAUAUCUAAUGUUACUUUUGUGUCAGAUAAACUAAAUUAUGCCAAAAAAAUAAUGAAAAGUUUAAAAUACAAUGAGUUGUUUAAUAAGUAUAGGUUAUACAUAAUUUUUUUAUUUAUUUUUUUAACAUUUUCUUUUAUUAUUUGUGUAAAAUACAAUAGAUAUGUUAACAAAAUUAAACAACCAAGUAUAGAACAAACGACCGAAUUUGUAUCGACUACUACUAAUAAUAAUAACACUGAUCAUAAUCAUAUUAAUAAUUAUAUUAACGAUAUUGCAAAACUAAAUGAUUUAAAUAAAAAUCAUAGUGACACUGUUUUACCUCCUCCUACUCAUAACGAACGUCCAAAAAAAAGUAUAAUAUAUGAUUUUACCGAAGACAUAGAUAUCGAACAAAAUGAAAAUAGUUCUGAUAAAGACACAAAUAAAUCUUCCAUAAAUGAAACUAAUAAUAAGACAGAAUCACCAUUAAAUAAAAAUAGUGAUGAAAAUAAGCAACAUGACAAUAAUGAUAAAACAGAGAAUGAAACAAAAUUAAAUAGUA